CCUACGGGCGGCAGCAGUGGGGGAUAUUGCACAAUGGGGGAAACCCUGAUGCAGCGACGCCGCGUGAGUGAAGAAGGAUUUCGGUAUGUAAAGCUCUAUCAGCAGGGAAGAAAAUGACAGUACCUGACCAAGAAGCCCCGGCUAACUACGUGCCAGCAGCCGCGGUCAUACGGAGGGGGCGAGCGUUAUCCGGAUUUACUGGGUGUAAAGGGAGCGCAGACGGUUAGGUAAGUCUGGAGUGAAAGCCCGGGGCCCAACCCCGGAACUGCAUUGGAAACUGUCUAACUAGAGUACCGUAGAGGGAGGCAGAAUUCCUGGUGUAGCGGUGAAAUGCGUAGAGAUCAGGAGGAACACCGGCGGCGAAGGCGGCCUGCUGGACUAAAACUGACGUUGAGGCUCGAAAGCGUGGGGAGCAAACAGGAUUAGAUACCCGAGUAGUC
rnacentral:rRNA from 1 species